UACGAAGGGUGCAAGCGUUAAUCGGAAUUACUGGGCGUAAAGGGCGCGUAGGCGGCACCGCAAGUCGACUGUGAAAUCUCCGGGCUUAACCCGGAAAGGUCAGCCGAUACUGCGGGGCUAGAGUGCAGAAGGGGCAACUGGAAUUCUCGGUGUAGCGGUGAAAUGCGUAGAUAUCGAGAGGAACACCUGCGGCGAAGGCGGGUUGCUGGGCUGACACUGACGCUGAUGCGCGAAAGCUAGGGGAGCGAACGGG
rnacentral:rRNA from 1 species